rnacentral:misc_RNA from 1 species
UUUCCGUAGGUGAACCUGCGGAAGGAUCAUUAACACGUUUUCCGAACGUUUUUUCACCCCUUAUCUUCCGUGGACCUAAAACCGGCCUCCCGACCCUUUGCCUUUCAGCUUGCUGGCUGUGCACGGUUGGGCGUCUUCGGGGUUCAAGGAGUGUCAGUCCAGAAGGAUUGUGCGGGCGAAAUGCCUGCCUUUCUUAGUAUGGUUGAUGCACCUCCUGAAGGCGUUGCCAAAACCCAAACCCUUGAAUCGAAUUGCUCUGAUUUUGUAGUUGCGACUUCACGGGCCAGCGAAUUCUAAACCAACAACAACUCUCAACAACGGAUAUCUUGGUUCUC